rnacentral:tmRNA from 1 species
CGUAAGCCCCGAACCCACUUGUGCCCGUGCUCGUGGAUGUAGGGUCAUCAUCACGGGAACCAGCCGCGGCGGCCGCCUGUCUGCCACGGCUGAACUCACAGGCUGGUUCCCGGGCGCGCUUCGCACGUCGUGCUGCCCGGGGACGAGAUCCAACGGCGGGCUAAGCAUGUAGGACCGGGGAUGGAGUGCCUUCGGACGGCGGUUCGACUCCGCCCACCUCCACCA